CCUUCCUGAACAACAAACACUUUUAAAAUAGCAUCAAUUUCCAUAGAAGACUUUCCAAGGUCCUUUAAGGUGUCAGGUCAUUCCAAAGGACAAUUAAGCGUCCACCACAUUCCACUAGGCUUGAGUUACGUGUCAGCCAGGUCAGAUCUAUGAAUUGAAUCCAUAUUUCACCAGCUGCGAUGGAGUGAGUUGAACCCUUCUCCCAACAGCAUUAGCCUGGACCUGUGGAUUAUUUGCACAUGACCUUGGGUCAAAACCCUGAAAUAGUGUGGACAUUUUUAACUCGUGAUUACAAAAUAUGUUUUAUUUAAAAGAGGACUGAAAAUGGCUGUGGAUAUAAAUUAAGUGGCUGUCUGGAGCAAGAGACACGCUGACUAUCACACCUAUGGAUGCGAAGGUAACUACAAACAACAACACUUCAAAGGUGGAAAGGGGCAUGUCAAAGUAAACUGGACUGUGCUCUCUUGUGGCUAUAAAGAUAAUGAGGGACAGAUGACAUCCUGCUCAAUAACAAUCCACCCCUUGCAGAUUAUGCCCUAAACUACAGACAGACUCUGUAUUUUGCUCUUUGAAAAAUGCACAAUGCCAUGGGUUAAUAAGCCAGUUUUGACUCCACUGAAGUUUUGCAAUGAGAAUGAAGAUCCUCACAUGUGCCAACUUGAGUUUGAGCAUUUACAUGCUGUGAUGGGUCAUAGUUAAAAGACUAUCUCCUCGGCACCUCUGUGUUUCAGGUCAAGGAAGACUCCAUCACGUUACAAGUGCUUCCAACCAGACAAAAGUAUGUAGGACAACAUAAUGACUCUGAAUGCUGGAAUUAAUUCACUGUCAAAAGAAAUCAGAACAACAGAAUCUCGUACAAUCUGUAAAACUAAGGAUCAUAAAACUGACUAUAACUGUCAACAUCAAUGCUAUGUCUAGCCUCUAUUGCAAUGAUCAACUGUGUGCUCUUCAUGAACAAAUCAGAGACUGAUCUGUAGUGAC